rnacentral:rRNA from 1 species
UACGUAUGGAGCAAGCGUUAUCCGGAUUUACUGGGUGUAAAGGGAGCGUAGACGGUAUGGCAAGUCUGAUGUGAAAGGUGGGGGCUCAACCCUCAAACUGCAUUGGAAACCGUCAGGCUGGAGUGUCGGAGAGGUAAGCGGAAUUCCUAGUGUAGCGGUGAAAUGCGUAGAUAUUAGGAGGAACACCAGCGGCGAAGGCGGCUUACUGGACGAUUACUGACGUUGAGGCUCGAAAGCGUGGGGAGCGAAC